GCCUUCGUGGUGUAGUGGUCUGAUGCUCGACGCGUAACCGAGAGGUCCGUGGUUCGAUUCCCGGCGAAGGCG
rfam:Stegodyphus mimosarum contig65141, whole genome shotgun sequence.